AGAAUCAACGCUGGCGGCGUGCCUAACACAUGCAAGUCGAACGAGAAAGUGGAGCAAUCCAUGAGUAAAGUGGCGCACGGGUGAGUAACACGUGACUAACCUACCCUUGAGUGGGGAAUAACCUAGGGAAACCUGGGCUAAUACCGCAUAACACCUACGGGUCAAAGGAGCAAUUCGCUUAAGGAGGGGGUCGCGGCAGAUUAGCUAGUUGGCGGGGUAACGGCCCACCAAGGCUUUGAUCGGUAU
rnacentral:rRNA from 1 species